GAGGAAAAGAAACUAACAAGGAUUCCCCUAGUAGCGGCGAGCGAAGCGGGAAGAGCUCAAAUUUGUAAUCUGGCACCUUCGGUGUCCGAGUUGUAAUCUCGAGAAGUGUUUUCCGCGCUAGACCGCAUGUAAGUCUGUUGGAAUACAGCGUCAUAGGUGGUGACAACCCCGUACGUAAUGCGGAUGCCUAGUGCUUUGUGAUACACUUUCGAAGAGUCGAGUUGUUUGGGAAUGCAGCUCAAAUUGGGUGGUAAAUUCCAUCUAAAGCUAAAUAUUGGCGAGAGACCGAUAGCGAACAAGUACCGUGAGGGAAAGAUGAAAAGCACUUUGGAAAGAGAGUUAAAAGUACGUGAAAUUGUUGAAAGGGAAACGCUUGAAGUCAGACUUGCGUAUUGGAGUUCAGCCGCAAGGUGUAUUCUUCAGUUUGCAGGCCAGCAUCAGUUUUCGGGGGUACAAAAGGGUAAGGGGAAGGUGGCAGCUUCGGCUGUGUUAUAGCCUCUUACUGGAUGUAUCCUUGGGGACUGAGGACUGCAGCGCACUUUUUGCAAGUCCCUCGGGACUUUCUGCGCUUAGGAUGCUGGUGGAAUGGCUUUAAACGACCCGUC
rnacentral:rRNA from 1 species